UGCCUGGGUCUGGGUCAGGGUCAGGGUGUGAUGAGUGGUGGGGAAUUGUUUUGUGCAUUGUUUUUAAACCCACCGAGGAGCGUAAUCAUGAUUACCAACUGGACUAUCUCUUUGAAGUGGAUGAAUGCCUAAUGACUUAUUACGCAUUUGGACUUGGAGACCCUACUUUUUUUAUUAAAAUUACGGCAGAAUAUGGAGGGGAAUGGUCUCGUACAUAUUAUAUGUCAGAAUAUGUUAAAGUGGAAUCGCAUCAUCUUUGGCUGCAUAGUCUGUCCAAGGAAUGUUUACUUCCAACAGAGAUUGAUAAUAAGCGAUUCCAUGAAGUUGAGCUUGAAAUAGAGACCGGGCGCAUGGAGGUGGAGAAAAUUGGGCUUCGUGUGGUAUAAAAGCAAGACAUUGAAGAUCCCAAUUGAGAUGCUUUCUUCAGUUGGUGAUGAAAUCUAGGGUUUGAAGAUCCCAACCAAAAUAUGCGAAGCCCAUGAUGAGGAUGAUGGGGAAUUCUUUUCUUCACUUCUUUUACCUAAAUUUACAAAAGACACCUUGCCUUGUUCAGAUGUUGAUUUUCCUCAAUGAUUUGCACACCUACGUAUAAUUGAAGUUAGAUAAACGAAGGCCUGUUUGUUCUUUCUCUAAAAGGAGCAGCAAUAGAAGUGUUCCCAUCAUCCGUUGGACGUUUGACUGCCCUUCAGGAGUUAAAUCUAAGUGAUUGCAAAAAUCUUGUGUCUUCCUAGCAACAUUUGUAGUUUGAAGAUGCUAAAAAAUCUUCAUCUUUUUGAAUGCUCAAAAUUUGUCAACUUGCCAGAGAAUCUAAGGAAUCUUGAAAGCCUGUUUAAUCUUUCUCUAAGAGGAAUAGCAAUAGAAUUGUUGCCAUCUUCCGUUGGACGUUUGACUGCCCUUCGGCAUUUGAAUUUAAGUGAUUGCGAAAAUCUUUUGUGUCUUCCUGAAAGCAUCUCCCAACUCUCUAGAAUUACAAGGCUCAACUUGGAUGGUUGCAAGAGGCUUCGAUGGUUACCAGAUAUUCGGUCACAAGAUUGUAAUAUAAAUGUAAACAACUGUACCACACUGGAGAGAUUCCCAGAAAGCCCAAAAAAUUGUCCCUUCUGGUGUCGUCACUUUGAUUUCUGUGUCGCGUGUGUCAAUUGCUUCAAUAUUCAAUUCUGUGUCAAGGGACUAACAAGUGGUAAAUUAGUGGGGAGAUUACCUUACGUUCUUCCUGUAAAACAAAUUCCAAAUGGAUUUGAAAAGGCCAACAUACGUGAUAGUUCAGUUUUGGCAUCUCCAAGUUUCCACAGAUGCGAUUAUUCAGUGAACAUGCAAUUGCCACGGUCGGGGUUUGAUGAGUUGUGGGCAAUUCUUUUGUGCGUUGUUUUUGUACCCUGCGAGCAUUAUAAUCACUCACAUUAUCUGAUUGAAAUCAAAUCGAAUAAAGUAUGGUUUCAACGUAUUGCGUCAGAAUAUGGUAAAAUUGAAUCGCAUCACCUUGCGCUGAGCCUGCACUAUUUGAAUUUCUUCGAUCUGGAAACCCCUGGCUGGUCUAUUGAUGAGAAGGGAUUCCAUGAAGUUGAGUUUACAAGCUACCGGGAGCGUGGAGGUGGAGACAGUAGGGUUCCGUUUGUUAAACAAGCAAGACAUCACAUCAAAGACUCGGAUGAUUGGGAGAACACUAGGAUGAUGGGACAUGGGCAUAGAUUGUGAGGAAUCCAGUCAAGGAGAUUUUUUUUCCUCAUCUUUUACCUGGUUAUCGGCGUGUUCACCUGACAAACCAUGGAUUUGGAGAGUAGAAAUCAUCCAGUCACUAACAAGAUGCUGAAUGAGAAAAAACAGUCAAUGAUCAUAGGUUACUCUUAAAAAGCAAUAUGUGUCAAAUCUUGAAAACAAGAGAAUUGAUCUCUUUGAUCGUGGCACCAAAGGAUGUGGGGAAGAUAAUGUCUUGCUAGCACCGUACUGUUCAAGACACCAUCAAUGUUGGAACAGAAACUGCAGCAGCACUCAAGGAUCAGCCAUGACAAAUCAACAGCUAGUAGAUAGUGGAAACCGGAUGAUGGAUGAGACUGAUCAAGCCAUCGAGAGGUCAAAAAAGACACUGUCAAUGUUGGAACAGAGACUGCGGCAGCACUCAAGGCACAGACUAUGAACAAAUGAGUCGGGUUGUUAAUGAGCUGGACUCUAUCCAUUUCUCGAUCAAGAAAGCUUCUCAACUUGUGAAGGAACUUGGUUGCAACUGAUAAAUGUAUUAUGGCUUUACUCUUCCUUAUUGUCGUUGGAGUCAUAGCCAUCAUUAUUGUUAAGCUAAUAUUAUUAUCUUUCAUUUUCUUUGCCAUUAACAAUAUUUUAUUUUCUAAAUAUUUGAUUCUGCUAUUGCCAUCUGAUAACAAAUUGGAAUAGAAUCCAUAAUGUCCCUUUAUUAUAUAGAUGUAGCUUCAUUAUUAUGAAUACUAGGCCUUCCACACACCCCCCCCCCCAAAAUUUUUUUUGACUGUGGAGGCCCACAGGCCUAUUGUUUUUAAAUGUGUAUAACUGUAUAUAUAGUAUUUCCUAACCUGUUUUUAUGCUUCAAUUGGGGCUUUUAUGAGCAAGCUGAUCUCAGGUUGAACUUGUUUGGUUAACCCUUAUUUGCCUAAAAGCUGCAGGAAAAGACUUUUAUAAUGCCAAAUGGUGUAGUUAAUUGUAGUGAAUCUAAGUCAUUUUUUGCUUACCCAAAUAAAAUGUAAAAGAAUUUAGUUCAGUAUACCCUUUUCUUAUAAAAAUAAUAAUGAACUCCACUAAAUAAAAAGGAAAGGAAACAGACACAGUACAUGUGGGUGUAGAAGAGUUAAUCUAAUUGUUGUCAGAUUUUCAUAUUCGUUGGUAAUGCACAGAUUGCAACUUGAUGUCAUCUUUAGGAGAAGUUCAAUUCCUUUUCUUUCUGAAUAGAUUUCUUGUCCACCACAUAUGUAAGAGGGAAACAAUAAUUUUAAUUUUCGUAUAUCAGUUGAAUAUAGUUUGAUGAUUGCUACAGACUUGGAUCAUAAAAUUGGUGGAGAUCGGCUUCAUUUGAAAACCAGUAAAAUUUAGACGUAUUUAUGUCGAAGAAAAAAAGAAGUUGGAACUUACAGAUUUUUUUGGGAACUUAACUACUUAAGUUGCAUAUAACUUUGAGUUCAAGGAUGAAUCGCUUGGUUGUUUUCAUAACUGUAUUGUCCAGAAAGUAUCUAUUUCAAGGCCUUUAAGAUAAUUUUAUAAUUUUUUGGGGGAGAUAACCUUCUAGAGCUUCUACAUUAUUCAUAUCAACACGUCUUAAACCUUUCAUAGUGAGUUGGUGUCUUAAUCACCAAGAACAUUUCAUGUCUUUGCAGUCUCAUGUGACUGUCAAAAGCCAUUAGCUUGUGAAAGAGCUGGCGGUAUAACACUGCAUUGCCCUUUUCUUUCAAUUUGCUUAAUUUUUUAUUUCGUGAAUUAUUUAUUUUUAUG